rnacentral:ncRNA from 1 species
UGAUCUGCUCGUAGAGCGCGAGCAGGGUAAAAUAAAGAAAGCUCAAACAGA